UACAGGGGGUGCAAACGUUGCUCGGAAUCAUUGGGCGUAAAGCGCACGUAGGCGGUUCGUUAUGUCGGAUGUGAAAGCCCUUGGCUUAACCGAGGAAGUGCAUCCGAAACUGGCGAGCUAGAGUACUAAAGAGGAUCGCGGAAUUCCCGGUGUAGAGGUGAAGUUCGUAGAUAUCGGGAGGAACACCGGUGGCGAAGGCGGCGAUCUGGGUAGAUACUGACGCUGAGGUGCGAAAGCGUGGGGAGCAAACAGG
rnacentral:rRNA from 1 species